rnacentral:rRNA from 1 species
UACGUAGGGGGCGAGCGUUGUCCGGAUUUAUUGGGCGUAAAGAGCUCGUAGGCGGUUCGAUAAGUCGGAUGUGAAAUCUCCACGCUCAACGUGGAGGGGCCAUUCGAUACUGUCGUGACUCGAGUCCGGUAGGGGAGUGUGGAAUUCCCGGUGUAGCGGGUGAAAUGCGCAGAGAUCGGGAGGAACACCCGUAGCGAAGGCGGCACUCUGGGCCGGUACUGACGCUGAGGAGCGAAAGCGUGGGGAGCAAACAGG